rnacentral:lncRNA from 1 species
AAAAAAAAAACCAAAACGUCUCUAAUUUCUUCGUUAUAGCUUCGUUUCAUGAACGGUUUGCAUCUACGCAUUUAUGAGAUCGAGCUCUAUCCAAAGAUAUAAAUUGUGACCUUGAAAUUCCUACGAGUUUUAAAUAAAUAGUUUCCAAACUUCACUUUUCGUAACUUGUUUAAUAAAAAAUCUAAAUUCAAACAAAUUAACAUAAAUUCUUGAAAAAUAAUAUAAAACCUCAAUAAUACAAAUACGUUGAUUAUAACAGUAAAAUCUAGUAACGGGAUUUCACACUUAGCCCCCUAAUCCAUCAGUCUAAUGCAUCGUUCGGCCUUCGAAAAGAUUAUAAAACUAGAAAGGUUGUGGGUUAUAACAUUCAAACUUGGGCUCUAAGCCAUUCGAGGGAAUAGUUGAAAGGGCGAUCUGAAAUUCAUCCAACUCUGAACUCUGACCCUGAGUACGACUACUUCUAUCCCAGACCAACAUACUAAGUCAAGUAUGUCAUGUGACAUCAUGUGUUAAGCAUGUCCGAAGAGGGCAUCAAUGCUGGGCAAUCCCUAAAAGGAAUUUUAUUCCAAAAGAGCUUUGAUACGCAAAAAAUUCUUUAGCCAAGUCAGCUAAGGUAGUCAGAUUGGAAACACUCAGGUCCGACGCAUGAGGUCUAAUAGAUUGUUAAGGUGUUUUCGACUCACAUGCAAGCCACCAAGUCUCCAAAUAACCUUUGUUUAAGAUUCACUGAAGACAAUAAGCAAUUGGAACUAAGAAGGAAAUCUUUUCUUGGCAUCACGUUGUAAGUAUCAAAACCCAUGAUUCUGAAGUGAGGCAAGGUAGGAAGAUGAAAAUAUUUCAACUUGUUGCAAGUACAAUUCAAGAGUUUCUCACCCUUAAUCUGAUAAAUGCAUUUUUGCUAAUACAGAGAGAAAGGUUUUCCAUAGGUUUAAACCUGAUAUUGGAAUAAGAUGGUACUACAAUUGACACGUCCCGACCCCAAUAUUCUAUGAAUACCCGGAUAGGCACGUGUUGGCCGACACCCGAGGGUGAUGAAAGUCAUUUAUUGAAUACAAGAGUAAUGAUUAGGAGAAAAUGAACAUGAAUAAUCAUUAGAAUAGAAAGGUAAUAAACAAAGUUUAAGGAAAUGUCUAGAGUGCACAGAAUACGUUCUAAUUCAAGAUCACAAAAGGAAAGAUCAUUACAAGAUAUCACACAAAUGAGUGAUAGAUUGUUACUGGUAGGGGAAUGCCUCGUACGUUGUGUUGUAGUCUUCGUUUCUAAGACCUGAAUGGAGAGUUAGGGUGCUACCAAGUGGUAGCUAGGGAGUGGAGGAGAAAAUAAAAAUGUUUAAUUUCAAUAAAACUUUGGGAAUUUAUAAAAUUACAUAUAAAU